AGGGGCGUAACUCAAUUGGUAGAGUAGCGGUCUCCAAAACCGUUAGUUGCGGGUUCGAGUCCUGUCGCCCCUGCCA
rnacentral:tRNA from 1 species